UUUUCCCUUCUAAAUUUUGCUUGCCCAAGAGUAGGGUGGACUCUUCUUGUUCUGUGUGGUGUUAUAUAAGAAAUAUAGUAUGCAACUAUCAACAAGUUAUGAAGGUAAAUUCUAUCGCAGCAGGAUGCUAAGUUAUUAGUCUGUGGGAGAGACUCUUGCCUUAUAUUGGGGAAGCAUGGCUCCUUCAAGAAUCUUUGGGAAGUAACCUUGCUGAAAGCUUUCUUGACUUUCUUGAAAUCCAACUUCUCCAUCUCAUCCCUUGUGAAGAAGGUAACCUUCUUGACCUUCUCCAUAGUGAACGCUAAUGAAAGGAUUCACUUAUCUCUUCUGUAGUGGUCUCACCUUUUUUAGUGUUCCCUUUUUAUCCCGAUAAUUUACCGGCCCCACUGACUCUUCAGUCAUCCCACUUCUGUGUUUGAAAACAUCUUUAUUUUUAGCUUUUAUAUCUUCUGCAAGUUUCAUUUUAGUAUUACCUGGCUUGCUUUGCUUUGGUUUUACAUUUAAAUUGCCAUCUCUUUUUCUCAUUUGAACAUGAACUAUUUUCUCUUUUUGUUCCUUUAAUAUGCUGUUUUUUAUUCAUUUGGAUAUUUUUUAUUAUUGAAAAAAUGUUUAUUUAAAGACUUUAGCAUACCGUAAUCACCAGUGCUCACAGUCACUUAGUCAUCUGAAAGAUGUAUACCUGCACUCUGCAAUCUACAAAAUGAAAAUAA